GCCAAUAGCUAGCUCUCUGCAACUCUCACAUGGUCGCCCAUUGAAGCUAAGCAGGGCUGCGGCUUGGUCAGUACCUGGAUGGGAGACCACAUGGGAAAGCUCGGUUGCUGCCGGAA
rfam:Danio rerio chromosome 8, GRCz11 reference primary assembly.